rnacentral:rRNA from 1 species
UACAGAGGUCCCAAGCGUUGUUCGGAUUCACUGGGCGUAAAGGGUGCGCAGGUGGGUUUGCAAGUUUGAUGUGAAAGCCCCGGGCUUAACCCGGGAAUGGCAUUGAAUACUGCAGAUCUGGAGGAUUGGAGGGGGGACUGGAAUUCUUGGUGUAGCAGUGAAAUGCGUAGAUAUCAAGAGGAACACCAGUGGCGAAGGCGAGUCCCUGGACAAUACCUGACACUGAGGCACGAAAGCCAAGGGAGCAAACAGGA